rnacentral:antisense_RNA from 1 species
CUUCACCGAACCGAGCCACAGCGGCCGAUCCUCGGGGCGGUCCCGGCCGUAGGUCGCGAGCAGCGCCUGCGCCUC